ensembl:lncRNA
GGUCAGAGGUUGGUGAGUAGUUAGUAGUGUUCAGUGGUUGGUGAGUAGUUAGUAGUGGUCAGUGAGUAGUUAGUGGUGGUCAGUGGUUGGUGAGUAGUUAGUAGUGGUCAGUGGUCAUGGUUGGUGAGUCGUUAGUAGUGGUCAGAGGUUGGUGAGUAGUUAGUAGUGGUCAGUGGUUGGUGAGUAGUUAGUAGUGGCCAGUGGUUGGUGAGUAGUUAGUAGGGGUCAGUGGUUGCUGGUUGGUGAGUAGUUAGUAGUGGUCAGUGGUUGGUGAGUAGUUAGUAGUGGUCAGAGGUUGGUGAGUAGUUAGUAGGGGUCAGUGGUUGCUGGUUGGUGAGUAGUUAGUAGUGUUCAGUGGUUGCUGGUUGGUGAGUAGUUAGUAGUGGUCAGUGGUUGGUGAGUAGUUAGUAGUGGUCAGAGGUUGGUGAGUAGUUAGUAGUGGUCAGUGAGUAGUUAGUGGUGGUCAGUGGUCAGUGGUUGGUGAGUAGAUAGUAGUGGUCAGUGGUCAUGGUUGGUGAGUCGUUAGUAGUGGUCAGAGGUUGGUGAGUAGUUGGUGAGUAGUUAGUAGUGGUCAGUGGUUGGUGAGUAGUUAGUAGUGUUCAGUGGUUGCUGGUUGGUGAGUAGUUAGUAGGGGUCAGUGGUUGCUGGUUGGUGAGUAGUUAGUAGUGGUCAGUGGUUGGUGAGUAGUUAGUAGUUAGUAGUGGUCAGAGGUUGGUGAGUAGUUAGUAGUGGUCAGAGGUUGGUGAGUAGUUAGUAGGGGUCAGUGGUUGCUGGUUGGUGAGUAGUUAGUAGUGGUCAGUGGUUGCUGGUUG